UCAGGGCCACACCGCCCCCGCGCUAGGCCCCGCCCGGCCACCGCAGCCUGCAGCCGCGCGACUUCCGGCCCGGCCCCUAGAAGAUGGCGGUCGCCGCGGGGGAUUUCCAGGGCUUGCUGGUCUCUCUCCUCUGGUCGAGUGCGGAGCUCUCUCGUCUUUCUGGCUAACGUCAGCCUCGUGUAUUGAGAUCUGCUAGUUCCCCUCUUGAAACAUAUGAUCACACUACUUUUGGAUGUGUGAUCUGGAAGCUUUCCCAGGAUUAGUUGAAAGACUGAAGGCAAGAAAAGCAGUAUGGUGAUUUGGGGAAAACCCAAGACAUAAGGAAAUGAAGGCCUACUCUAGGAUGAUGACAGUGAAAAGAAUGGAAUUGGCUUAAGAAAUAUUCUAAAAUGAGAAUUGAUGUGACUAAUAGGGCUAACAAAGAAGAAGGCGUUAAUUAAACUAUGUAUUUCCUCAUGUAUUGCAAUGAAGAGAAGAUAUUGGUGUAGUGAGCUUUUAAUAUCUCUUCCAGUUUUAAAAUCCAUUGUUUUCUGUAAUUCUUUUAUCUGAAGAUGAAAGGAAGAAAUAUUCCUAAAACAGUUACAAGGAGGGUGAAUUUGAUUUUAGACCUAAAAUCUAAAACUUUGGGAAGCAAUCUUGUGUCGUCUUUUUUCUUGACGAAGUUAUUUGCUCCAUCUGAGGCCUUAUGGGAUUAGAACACCCAACUGGCUAGGGGUGAGAAUUAGAAUGAAAGACCUCACUGUCUUGUGAGCUAACUACUUAUGAAGGCAUUGGCAUAUGUGCAUAAACAUUUCUGGUAGAUACCCAGAGAGAAAAAAGAGAAGCUCAAGAGAUAGAACAGCACUAAAGAUGUGGUUUGAAGAGACAUCUGUGUGGACUGAUUGAGUUUUCCAAGAACAAUAUCUUGUGGAGGGAAACUGUAGGAACAAAGUGAAGAAAAGAUGACAGACUUCAGUGAAAAGUCAUGUUUAUGUAAGCAAUUAGUGGUGAAUGCCAUAAGAAAAUCAUUUGAUUUCAUUAUCAAAUCUACUAAUCAUUCUGUGUAAUGCAGAUCUCUAUUAAUUAUAAUGUUAAUUGAGUGAAGAAAAGCUCAAAGUUAUGCAGACCAAUGAAUAAAAACUAUAAAUUUAUCUUAACUUCCACUACUUACAAAUAAGUUAUUUGUAGCCAUUGAAGCCGUUGCCUCAACUCCAGCUGAUUGAGAGGAGAAAUAAAACAAGUGUUUUGACUCAAUGAUAAGUGUCAUGUAGGUAUAUGUUGAGACAAUGUGAUGUGCAUAUAGAUUCCUGAUAAAAUUUUGCUUUUUCCAAAAUGAAGUAGUUCUGAUUUUUCUCUGAUUUUUAAAGUGUAAAUAACCAUCAUAAAAUAUUCAGAUAAUACAGAAUGUAAUGAAAGAAGUGAAAUCAUACCUAUAAAUAACCUGUUAAUAUUAUAAAUGAUAUUAUAUCACUUUCUGUGCACAUGCAGCUUAUUUAAGGAAAAUGGAAUUAUAAUACAUAUGAGAUUUUAGUACCUUUUUCCUUUAAUAAUAUUAACAUUUUAACCCAUAGAUAUUUUCAGCAUUUCUAAUGAAAUGGUGAAAAUUAAGUAUUACCUAACGAAAAAAAAUUUUAAAUAUACUUUUAGUUGUAGUUGGACACAAUAUCUUUAUUUUAUUUAUUUAUUUUUAUGUGGUGCUGAGGAUGGAAUCCAGCGCCUUGCACAUGCUAGUUGAGUGUUCUACUGCUGAGCCAUAACCCCAGCCCUACCUAAUGAAAAUUUGAGGAUGAUCUUCCAUGAAAAAGUGGCAAUUAAGUGUAAUUGAAGAAUAGAAAUGUAAAAGAAUGUCUUAAAAUGUGUUGUUUGAAUAUAUCUAAUAUGAUGUAAGUUUCUUUUACAACAGCUUUUUGUGUGUUUGCCUGUUUUUAACUUUUUAUUGGACUAUUAUAUUUACACAAAUUAGUGGAACUCAUUGUUAUUUAUUUGUACAUGUACACAAUGUAACAGUAUACUUUUGGUCAAUUUCAUCCUGAAAUAUUAAGUUUCUGGAAAACUCUCCUCCUCCUUACAACAGUAUCAUUUUUCUCUAGGUAUCCAUAUGUUCCAAAGAAGUUGACAUCCUUCCACCUUAAGUGGUAAUGUAACCUUGCCUAUCCAAUCAGUACAUGGCAUGCUUUUGAACUUAGUGAUUUAAGUCAGAGUGGGCAUUUACCCUAAUGUACUUCAACAUAAUGACUUAAGACUUUUGCAGAAAAUAUUGAUGUUCUUUUUUGCUGGACAAGAGGAAGCCUUCUUGGGACCGUGAAAGAAAUCAUCCUUAAAAUGAUGCAGAUACCAAGUUUGGCACAACAGAGAGAAGGAACUAAUAGGGAACUUGAUGACACACUAUACAUGUGAAGUAGCCUCACAAGUUUACCUGGGGAUCUUUCGUUUGUGUGAACCAGUCAUUUUUUAUUUUCAUUAUUUAAACAAGUUUGAGUUGAAUUUUCUGUUACCUGAAAUCAAAUUCAUGGAAAAAAUUCUAAAAGAAAAUACCUACAGUGAUUAUCUCUGUAUGACAAGAGUACAUAUGAUUUUUUUUCUGUGUAGAAAAGUUCUCAAAAUUUCUAUCAAAAAUGUGUAUUAAUUUUAUCAGGAAAAAGUCUAAAGUAAGUCAUAAAGGAUAUAUUUUGGUUAUAUGGAAAUGUUAAACAAUACUUAAUAAAAAUUCUUCUAAAUCACUACCAAGUACUAAAACAGGUAGGUAAACUAAAUUCACUCAUAAAACAGAACAAUUUAAGAGCACUGAUACAGUGAAGUACAUAGACUUAUAUUAUACAAAGGCUUUGUGUUUGUUAAUUUUUGUACCCUUAGCACUUAGACUAGUGCUUUCUCUGACAUAUGAUAGACAUUCAGAAAUGUUUUUGAAUGAUUGAAUAAAACUGAUUUCCACUAGA